AAUGAAAACCUAGGGUGGUUGCCCUACUGUUUAACACGGCAGGGAGGAAAGUCCGAGCUCCGAAGGAUAAUGCACCUUGUUAACGCAAGGCAGUGGAGACACUGGAUUAGAGCUACAGAGACGAGUCCUUGAAAGAGGAAGUGAAACGAGCAAUCUCUGCAUGGAGUAAGGCCAAAUAGGGAAAGAGUUUUGGUUUGUCCAAACGCGCGGCGAUCCGUCGCGUUAAUAUUUCCGGGUAGGCUGCAAGAUACCGGGGCGUAAGCUUCGGCGUGAGUGGAAUAACCAUCGCCUCGUGAGAGGUUACAGAACUCGGCUUAUGGGUUUUCAUUAAAA
rnacentral:RNase_P_RNA from 1 species